rnacentral:rRNA from 1 species
GACGAACGCUGGCGGCGUGCCUAAUACAUGCAAGUCUAGCGAAGCGGCGGAUGGGUGCGUAACGCGUGGGUAACCUGCCCUUAAGUCUGGGAUACCAGUUGGAAACAGUUGCUAAUACCGGAUACUAAAGGAUGUACCUUCGAUGCAUUAGCUAGUUGGUAAGGUAACGGCUUACCAAGGCGAUGGUGCAUAGCCGAGUUGUGAGACUGAUCGGCCACAUUGGGACUGAGACACGGCCCCAACACCUACGGGAGGCGGCAGUAGGGCAUCUUCCACAAUGGACGAAAGUCUGAUGGAGCAACGCCGCGUGAGUAAGAAGGGUUUUCGGAUCGUAAAGCUCUGUUGUUGGUGAAGCGGUAAUCAACCAGAAAGUCACGGCUAACUACGUGCCAGCAGCCGCGGUGAUUC